rnacentral:rRNA from 1 species
UACGGAGGGUGCGAGCGUUGUCCGGAAUCAUUGGGCGUAAAGGGCGCGUAGGUGGCUCGUUAAGCGUGCGGUGAAAGCUGGGGGCUCAACCCCGAGUCGGCCGUGCGAACUGGGGAGCUGGAGCACUGUAGAGGCAGGCGGAAUUCCAGGUGUAGCGGUGAAAUGCGUAGAUAUCUGGAGGAACACCGGUGGCGAAGGCGGCAUCCUGGACCGGUAUUGACGCUGAGGCGCGAAAGCCAGGGGAGCAAACGGG